rnacentral:rRNA from 1 species
UACGGAGGGGGCAAGCGUUGUUCGGAAUUACUGGGCGUAAAGGGCGCGCAGGCGGCUGCUCAAGUCAGGCGUGAAAGGCCUGGGCUCAACCCGGGAAUUGCGCUUGAGACUGGGCUGGCUUGAGUGCGGGAGAGGAUGGUGGAAUUCCCAGUGUAGAGGUGAAAUUCGUAGAUAUUGGGAAGAACACCGGUGGCGAAGGCGGCCAUCUGGGCCGCUACGU